rnacentral:rRNA from 1 species
AAUGAACGUUGGCGGCGUGGAUUAGGCAUGCAAGUCGAACGAAUCCCAUCUGGGUAACUGGAUGGGGGAAGUGGCGAAAGGGGCAGUAAUGCAUGGGUAACCUACCUCGGGGACCGGGAUAGCCUUCCUAACGGAUGGGUAAUACCGGGCGAUGUGGUUGAGAGGCAUCUCUUGGCCACGAGAUGAAUUUCGCCUCGAGAGGGGCUCAUGUCGUAUUAGCUAGUUGGCAGGGUAACGGCCUACCAAGGCGAAGAUGCGUAGCGGGUGUGAGAGCACGACCCGCGCCACUGGCACUGAGACACUGGCCAGACUCCUACGGGAGGCUGCAGUCGAGGAUCUUCGGCAAUGGGCGCAAGCCUGACCGAGCGACGCCGCGUGAGCGAUGAAGGCC